AGGGGCGGUGCGGCCGGGCCGCCCCUGGCGGGUCCCGCGGCUCCGGGAGCGCCGGGGGUCCCCGGGCGGCCGGGAACAGGCUGGGAAGAGCUUUCGGACACAGGGAAAGGGGUUCUUGUGGCGCUGGAUCCCAGCGGAAAGGAGCGGCGCGGCGCCUGGGAAGCUUAUCUUAGAGCGGGCCGGGAGAUAGGCGCGGGCAGACAUCGCUAAUCGCCGAGGACGCGCUGCGAUAAGGGCUCGUUAUCGCGCUGCGGUGGCGGUGUCGAUCGCUGUCAGCUCAGAGCAAGGCCAGGGCGAUCCAGGAGGGCAGGACUCAGGCUAGAGACACCUGUCACAACCGAAGGAGUUUAAUCAGCGGAAUAUCCUCCGGAUGGGAAAUGCCAGGCUGGCGAGAAGCCGCGCAUUGUUUCGGGAAGUGUGCAGAUACAUCGUACAGCUUGUACAGAGCAGCCUGGCGAGAGCUUUCUAAAGCGCCUCCUCAGAUCUCCUGAAUCCUUCGGGGAGCUGUGUGGCUGGUAUAACCCUCGGUUUGUUACAGUCACUGCAAGCACCAACUGUAAAGUUAACUUCUUCUUUUGUCUAUUUUCUGUCCAUUUGUACUAUCGUUCUUGAAUAAUUUUAAUUCUGCUGGUCUACACGUCUGCGUGUUGUAUAGAAUGCUGCCUGCCACGGCAGGCAUGAAGACUUGGUAGUCUGGAAACAAGCUCUCAGAAACAGCAAACCCUUCUCCUCUGCUAUCUACAACCCUCAUCCCCAAGUUACCCAUAUGUAGGGAAGACUCCAGCGAGUGUGGAUGGAUUUCAGGAUCCACAAAUGCCUCCUGUGGAAUAUGGGAGGAAUCUAGCCUGCUCCAACCAUCUCCACCAGGGAAACACACUCCACUUACCUAAAAACAGGCAAUAGAGAUAUGCAUUAAUUUGUCUGUGAAUUCAGCCACCAAAAAUGGUGGUUCAGGUGUCAAGAGAUGACACAGAAUGAUUACCACACAUCUGACAAGAAAGCCCUACUGGACAUAGAUCUGCCUAAUCAAAACCAUCCCACAGCUGGACAUGUAAUUACUAAUGAUUAGCAAAUUGUGUCUGAACAUUUUUUGUAAGAACUGUUUGACAGUUUAACAUCAUUUCACCUGCCUGGUGCUGAACUCUGUGGAUGUGUAAACCCAGUGGAUGUGUGUACCUACAUGGCAGCAUACUCUUGUCCCUGCUCUGCACCUGCAGGCUCCAGCCACCUGCCCCAUGCAGUGUUUUCUCUUUGAUUACUUGCCAAAAUACUCCAUCUUGGCACCUCUCUUCCUUUCUUUCCCUUUCUCACCAAGGCAUUUAAUUCACAGAGCUCUCUCUCUUGUCUCAGAAAGUAAAUGUUCUAAUCCAUGUUAGAACUAACUCAGCAAAAAAAAAAUACUGCUUUGUUUCAAAGUUAAUGGGUUUCCUCUUCAGCUCAGUAUGUGGCUCUAAAACCAGCAGUGGCAGGAAGGAUGGGGAUGUUGAGGGCAGCAGCAGUGCCCAGGGCUGGGGGAGGGCAGGGAAAUCUCUUUCUCUGGCAGUGCUGGCUCAAAGUGUUUGUGGAACUGCAGGGUGCAGUGACAAGAGCAGCUUGAGCUGAUCAAAGGAUGCCUUUUAUCAGCUCCUGUUGGCUCUUGUGCUGCUGGUGAGUGCUGUUCCUUUACCUUCCUCUUCUGCUGUCCUACUUUGUGACCUGCCCAAGGGCACAGGUUCCUACUGUCCCCUUCCAGCUUUCCACCUGCCCCUUGCAUUAUCUCCCAUAAACAUGAGGCCACUGUUUCACCUGACUAAUCUGAAGGAAAAAUUGGGAGGGGUGGUGGGGAGCAGCUUUCUGCUGAAUCAACCAACUCCCUCCACAGGCUGAGACUGUGACACCUGAUGAGUGACUGUGUUUAUCUUCCCUGUUCAGUUUUUGACCUGCCCAGGUUCCUGACCUGCCUCUGCCCAGCUGCAGGAAGGGCAGUGCUGGUGCAAUGGCACAGGCAGGGUUACAUGGGCAGAAACUCAAGGGAGGGCUCAUAAAUACUGACACAGACUAAAGCUGUGUGCUCUGCUGCAAAAAAAAGAGAAUCUCAAAAAGCACUUCUGCAUUAUUUAAGACAUGAAGGACUUGUCUUUGUUAACUCUUACCAGCAGCAGGGUUUGCAGCAUUACAGCUACAACAAAAGGAACAACGUGAACUACACUGUGUUUUUCAGCCUGCAGUAUUUGAUUCCUUCAAAUAGGAAUGGGAACCCUGAAGGAAUAGAUUUGGAGGUGGCUGUGCUACAAGCUUUACUCCAUACCUGAAGCCUACUGAACAUAAUCACUUCAGCCCAUCCAGUUUUGAACAUUACUGCUGCUCCGGACUGAUGAUCAGAUACAGGUCAUUCCAGGCAGGAGGCUCCAAGAAAACACACCCCUAAAGGCAUG